UACGAAGGGGGCUAGCGUUGUUCGGAAUCACUGGGCGUAAAGCGUAUGCAGGCGGAUCGUUAAGUCGGGGGUGAAAUCCCGAGGCUCAACCUCGGAACUGCCUUCGAUACUGGCGAUCUUCGAGUCCGGGAGAGGUGAGUGGAACUCCGAGUGUAGAGGUGAAAUUCGUAGAUAUUCGGAAGAACACCAGUGGCGAAGGCGGCUCACUGGCCCGGUACUGACGCUGAGAUACGAAAGCGUGGGGAGCAAACAGG
rnacentral:rRNA from 1 species